UCCCUGGUGGUCCAGUGGUUAAGACCCUGCACUUUGAAUGCACAGGAUGUGGGUUUGAUCCCUGACUGGGGAA
rnacentral:tRNA from 1 species